UCGUGCUAGACGGGGAGCUAGCGGUGCCCUGUAACCCGAAAUCCGCUUAUGCGGGGUCGAAUGUCCUCAUGAGAGCGCAGGACCGGGCGUCCUUCCAGUUGGUAGUAGAGAAAGGAUGGAACUCUCGUGACAGGCGCUUGCGAACCCCGUCAGGUCCGGAAGGAAGCAGCGGUAAGCAAGAGGGCCUGUGUCGUGAUGUUUUCUAUCCUGCAACUCUACACCACUGAGACGCAUCGGUUACGGCUCGAGUGAGGAUGCACGG
rnacentral:SRP_RNA from 1 species